UGCAUCGGCCGGGAAUCGAACCCGGGUCGCCCGCGUGGCAGGCGAGCAUUCUACCACUGAUGGUUAUAAGAAAUGGC